UACGGAGGUGGCAAGCGUUGUUCGGAAUUACUGGGCGUAAAGGGCGCGUAGGCGGCAAGGCAAGUCAGGUGUGAAAGCCCCGGGCUUAACUCGGGAAUUGCAUCUGAAACUGCUGUGCUUGAGUUCUGGAGGGGGUAGUGGAAUUCCCAGUGUAGCGGUGAAAUGCGUAGAUAUUGGGAGGAACACCUGCGGCGAAGGCGGCUACCUGGACAGAAACUGACGCUGAGGCGCGAAAGCUAGGGGAGCGAACGGG
rnacentral:rRNA from 1 species